AAGACUAUACUUUCAGGGAUCAUUUCUAUAGUUUGUGACUAGAGAAGUUUCUCUGAACGUGUAGAGCACCCGAAACCACGAGGAGGAGGCGCAGUGUUCUCUCCUGAGCGUGAAGCUGGCUCUUGGUGUUGCAUUUUGCAAGUGCCAGUUGCCCUUGAUGAUCGUUCUUCUCUCUCUUGUGGAGAGUAAGAGGGAGAGAGCACCGUCUGAGUGGU
rnacentral:snoRNA from 1 species